CCUACAGGGAAGCCAGGAGAAGGGCACACUGAGCCUCGGUUCCCAGGGUGUCCAAAUGUACUACUUCAGUCUUCCCCACUGAGCAAGCAAAUCCCCACUCUUUCUUCUCUCUGCAGCAGACAGAUACCUCACAACGACACUGUUCUCUACAUUAAUCUAAAUCAGGAGGCCACUGGCCCUAGUAUUCUUUUUUGACCUCUAUGCCAGACCCUGCCUCCUAGACUUUUAAUUGACCUCCGAGUAAACGUGUGAUAUUUCUGUUUCCUGGAACGUAUAGCUUGUUGUGCCCCUGGAGCUCAAGGUAUGCCGUCACCCUACUGAGACCUGCUCUAAAGUCUAUCAGGCUGAUUUCUAAGUUUCCUUCAGAUCUAGUUUGGCAUCACUUCCUCCAAGAAGACUUCCUUGUCUCUCUCAGGAGACUUGGAAUCCAUUCUCAUUUCCUCCUCCUUUUCUGGUGGUCUUCCCUGCUCGCCCAACCAGCUUUACGCUCUGUUGUAACUGUUUAUUUAUAAGGAAAGGCCUCCUCCACUAUGUAACCAAAUGAGUGCAAAUACAAAGCAAUUUCAAGAAUUAUCAGCUCUGCACCUUGUCCCAUCAAAAGCCUUAAAAUAUGUACAUUUAAAUUUUGUAUUUAUUUAGACAGGUCUUGGUUAUCCAAGGCUGGCUUUGAGCUAUCUAUGUAGCUGAGGAUAACCUCGGACUUCUGACUUUCUUACCUUCACCUUCUAAGUGCUGGGAUUUUAAGUAUGCAGAAUGCUGGAGAUCAAACCAGGGCUUUAUGCAUGCUCGGUAAACACUGUACCAUGGGAGCUACAUCCCCAGUGCUCCAAACUAUCUAUCAUUACAGAAGAGUUGGUGGUAAGCUGGACAUCUGCAGUUGGUAGGAUCAAAUGUCUCGUGUUGACUAUGUGAGUUUAGUUAUAUACAAACACUUUAAAGUGUUUGUCUAUGACUAUCAUUUGUAUAUAAUUGAUCAUUUAAAACAAUGCUAGCAAGACUGUGGCCUCUUGCCUCUCUUCACACUUCACUACAGCAUAUCUCUUGUCACGGGAUCUAAAGGACAGGGCUGGCCACCAUCUUGCAUGUAUAUCACAUGUAUGCUAUAGCACAUUGGCGUUUUGAAUGAGUGCAUACCACACAGCAUUAUGGCACAGAACUGAUUUUCCUUUCUUUCUUUACCUAACAAACAAAUUGUUUGUGUUUAUUACAUAACUAAUUGCUCCAAUGCCUUUUAAAAGAAUCCUUUUUUGGGGGAAAAAAAAAAAGCUCACUUACAAGAGUGAAAGGCACUGGCAAUUGUGAGCUUGCUCUCAAAUACAUUCUCAAUAAAAUCUUUAAGCUUCUUUUUUUACCUGACUUCCAAUGCAUGCAUCUGAAGGCGGCAUUGGAAAGUCAGCAUAAAGCUAAUGUCUCUUCCUGGCGGGGCUUUCCUGGGCAACUAAGACAAAUCCCUGCUUUAUAAAGGCCUAAAUAAAACAGGAUAGAGAAGGCUCAGUAAUUAAGGGCAUGUGUUACUCUUUCAGAGAACCCAGCACCCACAUCAGGCAGGUCCCCAUGCCUGUAGCUCUGGUUCUAUGGAAUAUGACACCAUCUUCUGACCUCCUCAACACACAUGGCACCCAAACCCACAGAGAUGUACACAUGUGCAUACAUAAAAAUAAACUAUGUAAACACAUAAAAGCCCAAAUAUAGCAUCACCCCCUUUUUCUGAAGGCUUGUCAGUUAUACAUUCCAUGCAAGUGCCAAGAAUGGAAGCACUGUCCGGUGCAAACACUUGAGCAUGCUAAGCACUUUGGCACUUGAAGCAGAGGGAUGGGGUACCACACAGGGAAACUGUAUUUGAGGAUUUAACUUCUGUGAACUCAGCAAAAUGAGUUAGUUCAGCAAGGUCAUGGGUAGGGAAAGAGCGGAUAGCAAGGAAGAAUGGAGGCCCAACGGCUCCGUAAGUGUGUACACAAUGGGGCCUGUGGACUUUAUGCUCCCCAGUUGGCCCAUGUUCCUGUUUGCUCCUCAUGACAUCUGGUGCCUAAUCAAAGAAAGCAGAUUGGUUCUAAUGCUGGUAAGGAACCCAGCUAUAAGAUGUUGCUGGAAGAUAGAUGAGUGGCUGCCCUAAUGGAUUUUCUUUUUCUUUUUCUUUCUUUCUCCUUUUUUAAAAACUAGAUAUUUUAUUUAUAUUUCAAAUGUUAUCCCCUUUCUUGAUUCCCCCCCCCAGGAGCCCCCAUCCCAUCCCCCCUCCUCUUGCUUCUAUGAGGGUGCACUCCCACCCACCCACUCCCAACUCCCCACCCACGCAUUCCCCUACACAGGGGCAUUGAGCCUUUCCAGGACCAAGGACCUCUUCUCCCAUUGAUGCCCGACAAGGCCAUCCUCUGCUACAUAUACGGCUGGAGCCAUGGGUCCCUCUAUGUGUACUCCUUGGUUGGUGGUUUAGACCCUGGGAGCUCUGGCUGGUUGAUAUUGUUCUUCCUAUGGGGUUGCAAACCCCUUCAGCUCCUAAGGGUUGUCCUGAUGUUAGCGGAAUUUGAUCAGAUAUGCUCAGUUUAGAGUUGUAGAUAGACAUCCUCUAUACCCUUGAAAGGGUUCUUAUGAAAACAAUACAAGAUUUAAAAAGAAGAUAAAGAUUUAGUUCCCUCUAACCCAAGUUAACCUGACCACUUGGGGUCAUCACCACACAGGCAAGCCUCUCCCCACCCAGGAGGACUAAAGAGUCCACUGCUUCUCUCUAACUGGCAUUUCUGGUUUGGAGCCCUUGUGGAUACAGCACUACAGAGACUGCCGGCUGUAUUCAGAUGUGGCCUGGAGCCAAGUGACAGAGCAAAGGCACCUAACCUUACCUUUGACCUAACUGUCCCUAGGUUCAGUGUGACCAGAUGCUGGCACCAGAUCAACAGCAGGAGGACAAUCCUGCACCCACAAAGCUUAGAACAAAUACAGAGACAGGUCAGUGCCAUCACUACACAGUGUCCUUGCCCCAGCAUCACACAUGGACAGUGAACAUUCCAGGCACUCACGGUGAGAAAGAAGUGGGGAGAGGACCCAGCGUAGUCUACCUUGAGUACCAUGUUGUUCUUAAAAUUUUGAAAUCUUAGCACUCUGUAGGCUGAGACCAACAAAGUCAUGAGUUCAAGGUCAGCUUGGCUACACAGAGAGAUCCUGCCUCAACUUCCCCUUAAAACAUCAAAAACCCAGCCUUCAAAGGCCAUGGGUGGGCUCCUACAUCUCUCUAAUAUUUUUAUCAGAAUAGCAAGAAGCAAACAAUUGAAGGCUUAUCCUAGAGAGCAGCCUCGACCUAAACGUCUGUAAGCCAUAGAGUUAAAAAAAAAAAAAAGAAUCUGUGGUGUAUACCCCAACUGGCCAAGACUAGCUGGUUAUUCAUUGCAUAUAUUCUAAACUUAAAACUCCAUCAGCACUCCAGAGAACCUAACCCUGCCUGCAUGUCAACUUUUCUCAUAAAACUAAAAACCCUUAGAUUUAUUCCACCGAAAUCAACUCCAAUUAAGUCCUGUGGUGUACUUAACUGGAAUCACUACUUUGAGACGACUUGUGCACAGAGUAACUAUUAACGCGACUGACUGUGGCAGACUCCCAGUCUUUUUCUUUCAAUGGUAGUUCUACAGACUCAAGUGGCUGUUCUUGGGAAUGUAAAACAGUGUAUCCCAUUCCUGCAUUCUUAACUGAUAAUGGCUGUGAGCCAAAAUGAUCCCCUCCCCCACAAAGUUAAUUUAACACUAAACGAAUUGAAAUGCAGUAAUAGCCCGCUCUAGGGUUAUGGGCAAAGUUUCUCCCACUUUAGAAAAAUACAAUCACUGACUACAUUGGAUUCCACAGGCACAUUUUUCUUAACUGCUUAACCCCCUGUCCUUAAUGAGUCCCUACUGAGCUAGAGGAAGAGUACUUUGCUCAGCAAUAAACACAGCCAGAACAUCCCACAUCUCAAGAGCCUGUGCUCUAAAUACCGCUUUCUGCUGUGGACCGGAGAACUUCUUUCUCUGAGCAUCUAGGCCCCAGUAGCAAAGCACUGCUAUGUCUAGACUAAUUCUUGGGGUAGUGAGGUGCACCAGGAAGCCCCAACCGAAGAAUGGAAGCCUGAAGUUAUGACUUUUAGGAAGAACAGUUCGACCUCACACUUUCCAAAUGACCGGGCCCCAAAUGAGAACAGGAGGUGAAAGAGUUAAAGGCCUUGAGAAUACAGCUCACAUCCACUCCAGCGUGCAGCGGAGACUCCAAAACUGGCACCUCGCUGGACUCCAGGGGCCGGGGAAGUCUCAGUUCCCGACCUAGGCUAUCUUUUCCUACCCUCGACACACAAAGUGGGCAAUCACAUCUUGAGGGGGCCUUAGAUUUCCAAUCCAACCCAAUAUUGAUGGGCCAGCAGGAAGAACCCUUCAGGAUAGGGCACGUGGACGCCGGGCUCCCGCCGCGUCCGGCCAGCACAGGAAGUUUGGGGAGCUGGGCAGGGGACAGAAGCGGGGGAUGCCUGGACUCCAGCAGUGUGGCGGGGUGGAGAGGCUUUUCCGGGUCUCCCCUCGGGGCCCGCCCUUCCUAGCUCGCAGGCCGGCGGCUAGCGCCACGUCAGCGGCGAGGCCCGAGCGCGGCCCACGCCCCCGGCGCAGCCUGCGCGGCCUCGCGCCCUCUCCCCGGUCCCCGGCUCCAGGUCCCUGGUCCCCGGUCCCAGAUCGGGCUCCGCCGGCCUGCUGGAGCUGCAGUUACCAGGGCGCGAAGAACAUGACGAAGUGCGCGGCGCUCUGGAUCCCGUGCGUGAACAUGUCGGCCGUAUACAGGUGCUUGGCGUGCGGGUCCUGCUCGACCCCGCUGUCCGCUUCCACCUCCUGGGCCCGGGCGCCUUUGCGCGCCCCGAGCAGCAGCAGGAGCGUGGCCAGGGCCGGCAGCCCGGCCAGCGGCUGGAGGAGGCGUCCUGGGCGCGGGGGCAUCGUGGCGGGGCUGGCGAGCUCUCGCUCGUGCCGCGGGUCCCCUCCGCGGCGCCGCUCCCGCCCCGGCUCCUCCCACGACCGCAGAGCCACGCCUCAAUCACGCCCCCGCUCGCAGAGCCACGCCCCCUGUCCCGCCGGCUCACCUAGCAACUUGCUGUCUUCUGCUGAAAGCCACCAGGAAGAGGUCGCUUAGGUCCUGGGGUCCUUGUGCAGCACCUCCAGCGCUAUCUCAGUCCGGUUCCCUUCCAUCCCGCUGAGCUCAUUCUCCUUCCCAAGCUCCUCAUCAGCCUUUCCCUGCUAGGGACGAAGAGGCCAAGCUGCCAAGCUAUGGAACAGUGGCAGCUUCUGUUGAUAACUAAUCAGACACCAAGAGACCCGAGAGUUUAGGACCAAGCUGAGCUGCUGUCAGCAGAAAGGAGGAAAUCAGGCAAACGUGUGUGGGGUUUGCUCUUGCAUAAGUCAGAUUCUUAGCCAAAGCUCAACUGUGAUUUGAGGGCCUGGCCUCAGGGGGUGUGAUGAAACCACUUCCCAAGAGCACCUCCUCUGUUAUCCUGCCCUGCCUUCACUUUGAAAAGGAAAGGCAGUCAAAGUGGCCCUUCCUUCAGGCCCUGGCUAGUGCCCUGUGUGCCCUAACUCACCCUGGAUAGGAAAAUGAAUGGCAACAGCUGUUCUGGGUGAGAGCUAACGCCUGGGCUGGGGCGCAUGGACCCACGCCAACUCUUGAACUUUAAGUCGGGUGGCAAUCUAAGCUCCCUGCCCUGCCUUGAAAACCUGGAGCUAAGUUAGGGAGAACGAAACAACCACUAGACACUUGAGAGAGGUCCUAGAGCUAUGCUCUGUACCGAUGAAAAGGAAGCUGGCAUCAUAAGACAUAUAUAUGGUGAUCUUUUAUUGGGAAAAAGCAACGGGCAUAGUAAGAAGAGUACAUGGCCAUCUUGUAUUGGACUUCUGAGCAACACUUCUGAAAAUCACCUGAUCUUUAUUAGCCUCAGCCUCCCUAAACCAAAAGCCUGGGUUAGCAACAGUUGGGGGUGGUGGUAAAGGGAGGGGCAGGGAAACUCACAUCAUCUGUAACUAUUCUCAUGUUAGGUUCGUCCACCUGUAAAUGUUUAACCAUGGUUUUCCAAACACCAAACUGCAGCAUCUCUUGCUUGCCCCCUCUCUCCCUUUGUGCCCUCACAUUCUGAGUAAGCACAGUUCAGCCAAACGCUUCUUCCGGCUUUCCUAACCUGAACAGACCUAAACUUGCCCAUCGCAGGAGAAGUUCUAUGAGCAUCCUUUGCCCACGUGAUUUUGACUAUGGCAAUUUGUUGCUCCAACUUGAACCAGCACACCAACUCUGCCCAGUAGCCUUGGCAUACAGACUAAAAUAGAAAUCCCUGAUGCUGUCCUUGAAGGCCUCCUGUGAUGUGCUCUGCCAUGCCUCGUGUCCUGUGAGGCUUGCUGGUGACCAGAAAUCCAAGAACUCUUGCCAUGUCAUCUGUACUGUCAAGGUCAAAGCUUUAUGCUCCUCAAUACUUCUCUCACUUCAUUGCUAAGACAUCGCAACAGAAGACCUUCAGCUCCCGACAUAUUGGAUCUACUGAGCAUCCCACCAUCAUCUGCCCUUGCAGUUUUUGCCAUCCUCCCAGGACACUCUCCUAUUUCACUGAAGACUGUGGUGCCUUCCAGAUGACAGAAUUCCCAACAACCCUUUCCUGUCAUCAUUCCUGGUGACUUUGGUGAUUUUGACAUUUCCAUCAGGAACCCCUUUAUACAAGGGAAUCUAGAAUGUUUACUGUUUCUAAUAUCUGGAUAAAGGUGCUAGGGUUUGGGUCUUGAAUGUAAACCUCUGUGGGUCCAUGUGUUGGAGACCUAUCUCCAGAGUGGUGCUAGUGGAAGGGGGUAGAAUUUUUAGAUGCAGGGUGGGAGGUUUUAAGAUCAUUGAAGGUGUGUCUUCAGAGGCGAUCUCAGGAGCCCUACCACUCAUUCCCUGCCUCCUAAGGUGAGGAGCUGUAUUCCCACCCUGGGGAGCUGUCUAAAGCACUGAGGUGGCUAUGAACACUGCCCAGAACCUCCAAGCCUGACAGUCAAAUACUUUUCUUCUUUGUGUCUCAGGUAUUAACUGCAGUGGCCAAUUGUUGUGGAGGCUCUCUGUUACUGGUAUGGUUACUGUUUCUGUCAAUGUGACUCUGACCAGGAAUACUCUAUUGACUGUUUCUCUGCGGCAUUGAUACAAUGACAGGAACUCCACCUGAGUCUGCCAUCCUUUUGGCUUCUCUAUUAAAGGCUCAGAGCUUUGCCUCCAACUCACCUUCAUCCUCUCUCUCUCUCUCUCUCUCUCUCUCUCUCUCUCUCUCUCCCUCUCUCUCUCUCUCUCUCAGACCUCAUUCAUCCCCAUAGCUGUACACACUUCCAACGCAGACAGCACCACAAACCUUUCACUACGAAGAACUUGUCUGACCCGAGAAGGAGAGAACUCUUGCACUGUGUCUCUCUGAUGGGAGCAUUAGUUUCUGCCAUACCCUUUCCUUUCCGCAGCAGCCCUUGCUCAGUGUGUAAGCUCCACAGAGUUGAGAAGAUGUCUGACGCCCAGCAGGUAUUGGACUCAUGUUUAUGAAAUGAAUAAAUGGGAAGUCCUAUUUGUCUCCUCUCAGAAGCUGAUUUCCUUGAGAGGGUCCUCAGAAUCACAGGGAGAUGUCCCAAGUAAACGACCCAUGAUCAUGGGGGCUAUUACUGAGCAGAGGCAUCAUGGCCCACAGUCCUAUGACUGCACACCAUGGGCCUUCAUGGGGUUGCAGCUCAUUCCAGUGCCAGUUUUGGGGUGCAUGGUGAAGCCACCUAGUUACAACACUCUCUGUGCCCCAGGGCAUUCUGUGAGAAGUGCAGCAGUAGUAAUUACCCCUAACCAAGAGAAGCUAUAGCUUUCGGUCCACCUCCUCAUGGUGCCAGAUACCCUAAAAUAGCACUCUGACCAAAGGAAGACCCCACAAAAAGCUCAGAAACUGAGAUGUUGCCACCUGAAUGACUUUAACAGGUGCAUCCUGAGUUAUUAUUGGGCUGAAAAAUGCUGCUUUUAAGCAGGGACCGAAAGUAAAUGCAUCCGGUUGUUCUAACUUCGUCAGAGCAUUCUGGGGGUGCCUCUAGAGAGAGAGAAAAUAUGUUCUUUUUCUAAAAAAAUAACUUUUAUGAUUGCUCAAAUAUGAUUAUGGAGAGGAGCAAAGAGUAGAUUAUCAUCAUCAGAAACAACAAACAAACAAACAAACAAAAUCCUAAAGAACAAAGCAAUUUCCCAACCUGGAAUCAUGCAGGAAAAUAGUCUUAUUUUCAGCAUUUAAAAUUGUGUAAGAGACUUAAUAUUUACUCAUUACUCACAUAAGCUCUUGGUAAACACAGCCUCCUAAAUAGUUAAUAGGCACAGACAAACACAUUAUAACAUAAUAGAUUCGAGACUCUAAUGGAAGAGGAAAGAUUUUGAAAUCCACGUGGGAUCGGUGUGGACACAGGGGAGGCUAUAGAGAAAAUUUCCCUGUUGGUUGGACUGUGACCACUGAGGUCUCUAUGUUGUCUGGCAAAGUCCACGGCAGCCUGGCUACCUCCCCCUCCCCAGCUCACUGAGUCCAUAAUGCCGCUGCUGGUUCUUUCUGUCCACCAUGUCUCAGCUCUUUGACAACUGGGCGCUUCCAUGGAUGCUCCCCUGGCCUCCUCCCACAGAGUCCCUGCACACAAGGCCAGCACACAAUCUCACUUGGGUUCCUGGCAACCUUCCACUGCUCAGCUAGCUAGCCAUUACUGAUGGGCAUCUCCAUGGAUCUGCAAUGUCCUGGUUAGGCACAGAGACACAGUUCUUUCGUGGUGCUUAGGAGACAGUUUUGAAGGGCUGGGCUGCCUGAGUCCCAGAAGACUAUUCCAAACUCAGAAUUCAGGAAAACGGUUUGACUAACAGGGCGGUUCUCCAUUUUGGCUGGUCUGGAAUCUCAUGGAUCUGGAAAACAAUACGGAUGCCCUGGCCUAACUCCCAAGGAUGAGAAGUCAGUGGUGCUGUCUCUGGUGCUCUUGGAGAAGGUUAUGGCUUCACCAAAGAGCACCUGAAGGGGAGGUACUUCCUUAAGAGAUGGGUUCUGGUUCAAAUAUGUUUGGUGAACACUGAGUUUAUACCCAAAAAUACAUAAAAUUUAUUUUUAUUCUC